GCGAGUUCCCUCACGCUCCCGCCGAGGGGAGAUCGGUCUCUCGGUUUGGGUUCUCCAUGCGCCAGUAACGCCGGGUAGAACGGCCUUUAAAGCCCAGGAGAAACAUCUGAAAGUAGGCACCUUCCACUUCCCUGAGCAGUUAGCUCUUCAGACUAAGAGGGCUUCGAAGGACUUGAAUCAACAAUUUUCUUCUGAUGUAUUCACAGUUCGCCUGACAGAUUAAUUUGGAGCCAAAAAAACCCUGAAGGUACAAGAAAGAAACCUGAAGAAUUGCAACUCUGGCUGGCAGGGUCAAUUAUGAAGUUUUGAUUUGAAGAUUUGAGAAAGUUCUGUGAAAAAAGGAUCCGGAUCUGAGGAGGCGUAUGUGAUAAGCCCAUCAUGUCUGUGUGCUGCAACAGAUUGCUUCCCUCCAUGGGACCAGGCAUUCAAGUUGCACAGAUACACUAGGGCUUCCAGGAAACCCCUCUAACCUGCACUCUCUUAGGGAAGCAACACAUACUUGGGCAAGGUACUGCAUUAAUAGUGCCAGUGGCAUCAGCUAUCCUGUGGGAGACUGAGAGUGCUGCAGGAGAUAAAAAAGCCUGUGCCUCUGAAGGCACAGUCCAGCCCAGACUGUUCAUGCAUACAGCAUUGCAUCAUGUAUGCCUCUGGGAUAAGAAAAGACAGAGCCAUGGGAACUGUACUGUCCUUGGGGACCCAGGAAUUAAGUUAAAUCAACAAGAAUUAAGUAGGAGGCAAAACCUGCUGCAGUACUUCUUCAUCUAACCUUUCAAUGAGGCUUACCCUGUGUAAGUGCAGUUUUGUGGCACCUAUUUACAGAAGCAAGACUGUGUUUGCUGACUCUCCUCUACCUUCCUCUCCUGGACAGGCUAAGUGCUUCCAUAGCGCUAGCCUGGUGCAGCAACUGUUGUAUCUUCUCCUUUCCUUUCUGCAAGGAGGAAAAAUUUUGCGUGUGCUCUCCAUGUGCAUGAUUGGGUGGCUGGCUGCAAAGGAAAAGGACACCAAAUAUCUGCAUGCUAAAAAACAAUAAUUCUUCACUUCUUUUGUUUUCCAUCUGCCUGAGACUUUUGACAGCAGAAUAAGCCUAAGGCUUUGGGUGAGGAGGGGAGACAGCUACCCAAAGUGCUCAGUUUCUCAACUACACUGAACAAAUAAGAAUCAGCAAGAAUUCAGUGCAAAAUCCUUAGUGCUCAGGACAUUAGAACACAUACAGCUUGGGAGAAUUAAAUGUAAGCAGCCAAUUCAGGAUCAGACCUUCAGACACAGGUUGUUAUUAUCUAAGACACUCCUAAAUGACUCAUGCUCCAGAAUAAUCAGUGUCUGGAGGUAACACAGCACUAAAAGGGACCAAAGAGAAAUCAGAGAGAAAAUGAGAAUCUGGAAAGAUCAUGACAAAACACAAGAGUGACUUGCAAAACCUUUCCUUGUAUGAAGAUGGAGAGCCACCAUCUUCCAUGCAAACUGUCAGCAAGUUCCAUUCUCAGAAGCUUGAGUUGACCAAUGUCAGCAAGCUAGACAGCCACAUCUGAGGAAAGUGGACCUCAUGACACCUGAAAGAGGCCCUGGGCCUUGAAGCUAAGUGACAAGGAAAUACUUCAUGUCUGCCAAAAACCUCGAAAGUGUCCCUUGGGGCUGCUCUGCGGUUCUGCAUGAAGCAAGACCUGAAUUUGCAGGUCCUCCUGCUCCAGAUAACCCAGCUUCCUCCUUUUCGAUGAGCAUGUAAUGGACAUAUGGGUGAAGUAUAGGCCACUACACAGCUCCAAAAGUUCAACAGAAAUACCAAUACAAGGGUAUUUCAUUUACUGGUUAGUGUGGUGUUCUGUGGCCACAAAGAUCACUGCACCAUUCAUUGCU